AGCUCCGAGGUGUAUUCACAUAUUGGAUUGCAAAUCCAAAGAAGCAGGCGAAAAGCCCGCCGGGGCUU
rnacentral:tRNA from 1 species